CUGGAACAUUGUCAUGCUAGCCACCUGACACUCGGCAUAUCCUCUCCCUCGUGGCAUCCAGCUUUGCUGUAGGGACCAAAAGGUGCUCCAUCACCGGAUUCAUCAUAUUGGAAUCCUCUCUUCUUGUGUGGUUUAGUCAACUUUGUUUUCCUGUAUGGUACAGUUGGGGUCUAGAUCGAAGUCGGCUGAGCUAUUGGGUGGCUCUGAAGAUGUGUUUGUGUUAGAGAUUAGUUUACAUGCAAAGUAAGUUCUUUAAGAAAAGUAUUACUGCGCACCACUCCAAUUUGUUCCUUGAACUGAUAAGAUCUGGUCCAGUAGUACUGCUGCAAAUCCGAGGCAAGACGUUCUGCAUGUUUCUAUUAUCCUGCACAAUAAGCAAGCACAUACACUUCAAAUCAUCCGUUCUCUUGUUCCCCAAAAUAAAUUCAUUCGUUCUAACCAUUAGCCAUAUAAUUGUACAGAUAGACCAUAUAAAUGGGAUUCUUUCUGUAAAUAGAAAUCAACCUGAUUUGAUUAUGUUUCAUGUCCAUAAUAGUUUUCUCUUGGUAGAAAAAACAUAAACAUGUACAUACAGAUUAUAUUUCUUCUCAUUGCAAGAGGAUAUGAGGAUUUCUACUAUUAUACUGACAGAAUGAUAGCAUCACCUCAAGCAUGUAACCGUGGGAGUUAGACUUUCACUAAUGAUUUGAGCAAGUUUCCCGGUGAUCAAACAUUGUACAUCAGAAAUGUUCUUCAUCGAUGCCCAUCCCAAUUGCUAACAAUUCUUUUGCACUCUCAGGUUGCCAAAUAUACUACGAAGGAACUAUAGCAAGUGAAUUGUUGAGUUUGCCAAGCAUAAUGGCACACCUAAUUUUGGCAGAUCAUAUAAAGAGGAUAUCGAGCAAAGAUGAUUUGAGAUUUACCCAUGACUAUAUGCGGUUCCUAUAAACUCCUGUUGCAUGUUUAAUGAUUGCCACAAUAGUUUCUUUUAAUGCACCAGAGAAUUAUAUUUUUUGUAUCAGGUAAAUAAUUCUUUUCUCACUGUUAUUU